UAUUAGGCUGGUGCAAAAGUAAUUGCGGUUUUUGCCAUUGUUUUUAAUGGCAAAAACCGCAAUUACUUUUGCACCACUCUAAUA
rfam:Homo sapiens chromosome 16, GRCh38 reference primary assembly.